rnacentral:rRNA from 1 species
UGAACGCUGGCGGCGUGCCUAACACAUGCAAGUCGAACGAAGCAUCCGCCCGAAGAAGAGGAGAGCUUGCUCAAAUCGGACUCAAUUGGGAUGACUUAGUGGCGGACGGGUGAGUAACGCGUGGGUAACCUGCCGUAUACAGGGGGAUAACAGUUAGAAAUGACUGCUAAUACCGCAUAAGCGCACAGAACCGCAUGGUACAGUGUGAAAAGCCGAGACGGUAUACGAUGGACCCGCGUCUGAUUAGCCAGUUGGCAGGGUAACGGCCUACCAAAGCAACGAUCAGUAGCCGGCCUGAGAGGGUGAACGGCCACAUUGGGACUGAGACACGGCCCAAACUCCUACGGGAGGCAGCAGUGGGGAUAUUGCACAAUGGGGAAACCCUGAUGCAGCGACGCCGCGUGAGUGAAGAAGUAUUUCGGUAUGUAAAGCUCUAUCAGCAGGGAAGAAAUGACGGUACCUGACUAAGAAGCUCCGGCUAAAUACGUGCC